rnacentral:tRNA from 1 species
CAGGGUAUAGCUUAGUUUGGUAAAGCGUCUGCUUUGGGAGCAGAAGAUCGUAAGUUCGAAUCUUACUACCCUGACCA